AUUGAACGCUGGCGGCAGGCCUUACACCUGCCAGUCGGACGAGUGGCGGACGGGUGAGUAAUGUCUGGGAAACUGCCUGAUGGAGGGGGAUAACUACUGGAAACGGUAGCUAAUACCGCAUACCAUCGGAUGUGCCCAGAUGGGAUUUGCUAGUAGGUGGGGUAAAGGCUCACCUAGGCGACGAUGCCUAGCUGGUCUGAGAGGAUGACCAGCCACACGGGAACUGAGACACGGGCCAGACUCCUAAGGGAGGCAGCAGUGGGGAAUAUUGCACAAUGGGCGCAAGCCUGAUGCAGCCAUGCCGCGUGUAUGAAGAAGGCCUUCGGGUUGUAAAGUACUUUCAGCGGGGAUGCGUUACCCGCAGAAGAAGCACCGGCUAACUCCGUGCCAGCAGCCGCGGUAAUAC
rnacentral:rRNA from 1 species